GAUUACUAUGCUUACAAAAAAUACAAUCGCAAAGAGUCAAAAACAUUUCAGAGUUUCAUAUGUAAUUUCUUUCAUAUCUAUAUAUGUAAGUACCUUAUAUAUCGAUUAUAAAAAUAUUAGAUUAUGAUCGAAAUAUAUUAAAAUGGAAAUGCUAAAUUGGCAAGUAAAUUAUACUAGAAAUUUAUGGAAUCAUGCAAUUACAAUUUACCCAAAAAAAAGCAAAUCAGUUUUGAUACAAGUAUACAUAUAUAGAGGAAAUGUUAGAAAAUAUUACUGGAGCGUGUCAUAUUUUGAGCAUUGAAUGGAUUGAAAACCUGAUGAGCAAGUAUAUUAAAUUUGAUUUACUAUAUAAACAAAUACGAAGAGAAAGGAAGAUACAUGAACGUUUUUGGAUAAAAAUGAUGGAUAAGAAGAAAUAUUCUACUUUGUAUUUUUAGAAGACGAAUCUCAAACAUCAAAUCUUAAAUUGUUGUUAUUUAUAAAAACAUAGGACAAAGAAAAAAAUUUAUAGUAAAACUGUUCAAAAUGGAAAUAAAUAAUCGAAAUCGAACAAUCACAAAUAAUUUAUAUAUCUUACAUAUUAUAUUUAUAUUUAAAAAAUGUAAAUUGUAAUAUAGAUAUUGUGUACAAUUUUAUAUUUAUCUUGAUUCAUCUGUAGAAUGCGAAAGAUGUAAAAAUUAUGCUGUCUGAUAUUUUUUUAAUGUAAAAAUAGUUUAUAUUUCGGAAAUAAAAAACAAUGUUGUAUAAUA